rnacentral:lncRNA from 1 species
AGAGGAGACCACCACCGUGAUGUGUGCAUCAUACCUGUUUCGGCACAUGGGACUAAUCCUGCAAGUGCUGCUAUGUGUGGAAUGAAAAUUGUUGCUGUUGGAACUGAUGCCAAGGGAAACAUCAACAUUGAAGAGUUAAGGAAGGCUGCUGAAGCAAAUAAGGAAAACCUAUCUGCUCUUAUGGUAUGUAGGUUGGAGGGUAGGGUUGGUGUGAGAUCAUGCCUAUGAAAUAUCAAGUGUUCAUUGAUUUUGAUUUGAAUUUCAGGUUACAUAUCCUUCAACCCAUGGAGUCUAUGAAGAAGGGAUAGAUGAAAUAUGUAAGAUAAUUCAUGACAAUGGAGGUCAAGUUUACAUGG